UACGUAGGGCGCAAGCGUUAUCCGGAAUUACUGGGCGUAAAGAGCUCGUAGGCGGUUUGUCGCGUCUGCUGUGAAAGCCCGGGGCUCAACCCCGGGUCUGCAGUGGGUACGGGCAGACUAGAGUGCAGUAGGGGAGACUGGAAUUCCUGGUGUAGCGGUGAAAUGCGCAGAUAUCAGGAGGAACACCGAUGGCGAAGGCAGGUCUCUGGGCUGUUACUGACGCUGAGGAGCGAAAGCAUGGGGAGCGAACAGG
rnacentral:rRNA from 1 species